GUCAAGUGUCUCUACAAUGAGUUCACCAUUGCUACUUCCUACUGGUUGGGCUUUGUUCACAGCAGAUGAUUGUUCUACAACUUGAAUGAAGUCAUCUAAUGAGUCCACCUCUGCUUUACGGAAUUUUUGCUUUAAUAGUCCGAAGCACCAGUCAGGAGAAAAUUUUGUGUGUCCAACUGGCAGAAAAGAUAUUGAAAUGGACGCAUUGAGUCCUGUCAUGACUCUCCAUAAGAGUUGUCAGCAUGGAAAUGGAUACUGACUGAGUUGAGGCCAUGAUUCUUCAAAUAAAAAUGUACCAUGCUUAUGACAGGAUUUGCCCCUUUACCAGUGUCGAAUGAUUCAUCGAUCAAGAAAUUAACCUGCUGAGGGAUAGCUUCACAGCACACACCAAAUAUGCCACAUUUCCUGGGAGUAAGAAAAUAAAUUGGACCUGCUUGUAGUGGACUUGAAGGAUAGUGAACCUUUAAAAAAGUAUUCUUCCAGGAAGACUGAUUCCAUGGACUUCAGCGUAAUUUCUGAUGAAAGCAACAACCCGGAGAAUAUCAUUAUAAGUCAAAGCAUGGUUUGGUGUCUUUCCAGCAUUUCCAUGAACUCUAAUAAAGUUAAGUACAUAACAUUGAAUUUGUCUUCCUUCCUCAUGUCAUCACCAGAGUGAGUAGUUGAAGUAGCUGGAGCAUCAGGCAUCGCUGAUUCUAAAUCAAGAUCUGAUACUUGUAGCUCCACAGCCACCUCAGGAUCAAACAGUGGUGGAUUAAUAUCUUCAUCACAAUCUUUUGUCUCUUUCUCUUCUUCUUUCCCUUCCUCUACCUCUUCUUCUU